GGGAUCGGGGCGUCGCCGCUGCAGCCACCGCCUCGGGAGCUGGUGAGCGAUGAAGAACCUCAGAAAGGGUUUCUGUCCUGAGUGGCCUGCGUGGGCAGCUUGACGGCUCUCUGUGUGGAGUCGACAUUGGGAGAUUUCGGAAGCAUGAGUUGGUGUCUGGGCGGCUGGUGAUGGUGGCUGCUGGCACCUGGAAAAGCGCACUGCUGCAGGGUGACGAACACGGGCGUCACCAUAUGCGUCUGCUGAACUCCAUCUCCCAGUGGCGGAGCCGUUUGUGGGAGCGUGUCUAGCUCCGCAGUCCAGCUGCUGGCGUCUCCCCGGUCUCCGUUCCCCUGGCGACGCAGAUGCUGUGGCUCCGUUCCCCUGGCGACGCAGAUGCUUG